rnacentral:tRNA from 1 species
GCGUUCGUGGUGUAACGGUAGCACACUCGGCGCGUAUUCGAGAGGUCCAGGUUCGAAUCUCCGCAAGCGCA